ensembl:lncRNA
GUUGUCUGUGAAGCCUAGUAACCUCAGAGCACCAGACUGUUGUCUGUGAAGCCUAGUAACCUCCCAGCACCAGACUACACACAGACAGAACUGGGCAUCAUAGCAUCAGAAGAGGAAGACCUGACAUUUUCAGCCACUAACACAGAAGGACCAUUGUUACACUUUCCUUUUUUAAAUCCAUGUUAGUUGUUGUGGCAGAGAAUCACUCAGGACCACAAAGGUUCUGAGCUGCCCCUCCCUGUGCCUGAGUAGAAAGGGCCCCCUGUCUGUCUCAGCUGUAAUACCAGUCCAGGGGAGGGUACUAGGUAGAAAGGGCCCCCUGUCUGUCUCGGCUGUAAUACCAGUCCAGGGGAGGGUACUAGGUAGAAAGGGCCCCCUGUCUGUCUCAGCUGUAAUACCAGUCCAGGGGAGGGUACUAGGUAGAAAGGGGCCCCUGUCUGUCUCAGUUAUAAUACAAGUCCAGGGGAGGGUACUAGGUAGAAAGGGCCCCCUGUCUGUCUCAGUUAUAAUACAAGUCCAGGGGAGGGUACUACUUAGAAAGGGCCCCCUGUCUGUCUCAGCUGUAAUACCAGUCCAGGGGAGGGUACUAGGUAGAAAGGGCCCCCUGUCUGUCUCAGCUGUAAUACCAGUCCAGGGGAGGGUACUAGGUAGAAAGGGCCCCCUGUCUGUCUCAGUUAUAAUACCAGUCCAGGGGAGGGUACUAGGUAGUUACAGACAGACAAGUUGUAAGUUGUGUAGUCCAGGACAGGUCAGUUACAGACAGACAGGUUGUGUAGUCUAGGACAGGUCAGUUACACUAGGAGAUAGAUGGUUACAGACAGACAGGCUGUGUAGUCUAGGACAGGUCAGUUCCACUAGGAGAUAGGUGGUUACAGACAGACAGACAGGUUGUGUAGUCUAGGACAGGUCAGUUACACUAGGAGAUAGAUGGUUACAGACAGACAGACAGGUUGUGUAGUCUAGGACAGGUCAGUUACACUAGGAGAUAGAUGGUUACAGACAGACAGGCUGUGUAGUCUAGGACAGGUCAGUUCCACUAGGAGAUAGGUGGUUACAGACAGACAGGUUGUGUAGUCUAGGACAGGUCAGUUACAGACAGACAGGUUGUGUAGUCUAGGACAGGUCAGUUCCACUAGGAGAUAGGUGGUUACAGACAGACAGGUUGUGUAGUCUAGGACAGGUCAGUUACAGACAGACAGGUUGUGUAGUCUAGGACAGGUCAGUUACACUAGGAGAUAGAUGGUUAUAGACAGACAGGUGGUGUAGUCUAGGACAGGUCAGUUCCACUAGGAGAUAGAUGGUUACAGACAGACAGGUCAGUUCCACUAGGAGAUAGAUGGUGACAGACAGGUCAGUUCCACUAGGAGAUAGAUGGUUACAGACAGACAGGUCAGUUCCACUAGGAGAUAGGUGGUUACAGACAGACAGGUUGUGUAGUCUAGGACAGGUCAGUUCCACUAGGAGAUAGGUGGUUACAGACAGACAGGUUGUGUAGUCUAGGACAGGUCAGUUACAGACAGACAGGUUGUGUAGUCUAGGACAGGUCAGUUCCACUAGGAGAUAGGUGGUUGCAGACAGACAGGUUUUGUAGUCUAGGACAGGUCAGUUACAGACAGACAGGUUGUGUAGUCUAGGACAGGUCAGUUCCACUAGGAGAUAGAUGGUUAUAGACAGACAGGCUGUGUAGUCUAGGACAGGUCAGUUCCACUAGGAGAUAGAUGGUGACAGACAGACAGGUCAGUUCCACUAGGAGAUAGAUGGUUACAGACAGACAGGUCAGUUCCACUAGGAGAUAGAUGGUGACAGACAGACAGGUCAGUUCCACUAGGAGAUAGAUGGUUACAGACAGACAGGUCAGUUCCACUAGGAGAUAGAUGGUUACAGACAGACAGGUCAGUUCCACUAGGAGAUAGGUGGUUACAGACAGACAGGUUGUGUAGUCUAGGACAGGUCAGUUACAGACAGACAGGUUGUGUAGUCUAGGACAGGUCAGUUCCACUAGGAGAUAGAUGGUUACAGACAGACAGUGUAGUAGCAAUAUAAAGAUGAUUAUAAAAUGUGAGAUUAAAGACCUGACGUUCAUACUAAUAUUCAGCCAGUUAACCACAGUCCUGGAGUCAGAUGUUAACUCCUGUCUCUAAAUAGUGGAGGUUAGGGCCCCGUUAACCACAGUCCUGGAGUCAGAGGUUAACUAAAGGACUCCAGCCGGGGGG